AACAAACGCUGGCGGCGUGCCUAACACAUGCAAGUCGUACGAGAAAGGGUCCUUCGGGGCCUGAGUAAAGUGGCGCACGGGUGAGUAACGCGUGGAUAAUCUGCCCUUCAGUUGGGAAUAACUCAUCGAAAGGUGGGCUAAUACCGAAUAAUGCUGUGAGACCUCGGUUGAUCAGCCAAAGAGAGCCUCUGCUUGCAAGCCCUCGCUGAAGGAUGAGUCCGCGUACCAUUAGCUAGUUGGUAGGGUAAUGGCCUACCAAGGCGACGAUGGUUAGCUGGUCUGAGAGGAUGAUCAGACACACUGGAACUGAGACACGGUCCAGACUCCUACGGGAGGCAGCAGUGAGGAAUCUUGCGCAAUGGGGGCAACCCUGACGCAACAACGCCGCGUGAGUGAGGAAGGUCUUCGGAUCGUAAAGCUCUGUCGGAUGGAAAGAGCCGCAUAGGGGUAAACAGCCCCUGUGUCUGGCGGUACCAUCAAAGGAAGCACCGGCUAACUCCGUGCCAGCCGCCGCGGUAAUAC
rnacentral:rRNA from 1 species